rnacentral:rRNA from 1 species
UGAGCAAUCUGCCCUUCUCUUCGGAAUAAGCGUUGGAAACGACGUCUAAUGCCGAAUACGACCUCCUUUCGCAUGAUCGGAGGUGGAAAGCUCCGGCGGAGAAGGAUGAGCUCGCGGCCUAUCAGCUAGUUGGUGUGGGUAAUGGCCCACCAAGGCGACGACGGGUAGCCGGCCUGAGGAGGGUGACCGGCCACACUGGGACUGAGACACGGCCCAGACCUCCCGUACGGGAGGCAGCG